CUAGCGACUUCAGAGUUUGAUCCUGGCUCAGGACGAACGCUGGCGGCGUGCUUAACACAUGCAAGUCGAGCGGACGGAGGGCUUCGGCCCGAAGUUAGCGGCGGACGGGUGAGUAACGCGUGAACAAUCUGUCCCAGACAGGGGGAUAACAAUCUGAAAAGGUUGCUAAUACCGCAUAAGACCACGUUCUCGCAUGGGAAUGGGGUAAAAGAUUUAUCGGUUUGGGGUGAGUUCGCGUCUGAUUAGCUAGUUGGUAAGGUAACGGCCCACCAAGGCGACGAUCAGUAGCCGAUCUGAGAGGAUGACCGGCCACAUUGGAACUGAGACACGGUCCAA
rnacentral:rRNA from 1 species